AAAAAACAAACAAACAAACUUUCCGUGUCCAAGGUUUGACUGUCCGUCUUAUAUAAAUUUUUUUUAUAAUUAGUAUUUUCAUUGUUGUUAGAUGAUAAAAUAUGAUUAAUAUUUUAUGCGUGACUUGUCUUUUUAAUUUUUUUCAUAAUUUUUUCAAAUAAGACGGACGGUCAAACAUUAGACACGGAAACUCAAGGUUUGUCUUUUU
rfam:Oryza sativa Japonica Group DNA, chromosome 3, cultivar: Nipponbare, complete sequence.